UCUCUCGUGGCUCAGAGGUUAAAGCGUCUGCCUGCAAUGCAGGAGAUCUGGGUUUGAUCCCUGGGGCGGGAA
rnacentral:tRNA from 1 species